rnacentral:rRNA from 1 species
UACGUAGGGUGCGAGCGUUAAUCGGAAUUACUGGGCGUAAAGCGUGCGCAGGCGGUUUGUCGCGUCUGCUGUGAAAUCCCGAGGCUCAACCUCGGGCCUGCAGUGGGUACGGGCAGACUGGAGUGCGGUAGGGGAGAAUGGAAUUCCUGGUGUAGCGGUGGAAUGCGCAGAUAUCAGGAGGAACACCGGUGGCGAAGGCGGGUCUCUGGGCCGAUACUGACGCUGAGGAGCGAAAGCCAGGGGAGCAAACGGG